rnacentral:rRNA from 1 species
CCGCGGUAAUAUUGGACAAUGGGCGAAAGCCUGAUCCAGCAAUGCCGCGUGAGUGAUGAAGGCCUUAGGGUUGUAAAGCUCUUUACCCGGGGUGAUAAUGACAGUACCGGGAGAAUAAGCUCCGGCUAACUCCGUG